UAAUUGGAGAGUUUGAUCCUGGCUCAGAAUGAACGCUGGCGGCGUGCUUAACACAUGCAAGUCGCACGAGAACUCUUUAGCUUGCUAAAGAUAGUAAAGUGGCGCACGGGUGAGUAACGCGUGGGUAAUCUUCCUUUAAAUUCGGGAUAACUCGCCGAAAGGCAGGCUAAUACCGGAUGAUAUCUUUGAAACCUCGGUUUAAAAGAUCAAAGGUGGCCUCUAUUUAUAAGCUACUGUUUGAAGAUGAGCCCGCGUACCAUUAGCUAGUUGGUAGGGUAAUGGCCUACCAAGGCUACGAUGGUUAGCUGGUCUGAGAGGAUGAUCAGCCACACUGGAACUGACACACGGUCCAGACUCCUACGGGAGGCAGCAGUGAGGAAUUUUGCGCAAUGGGGGAAACCCUGACGCAGCAACGCCGCGUGAGUGAUGAAGGCCUUCGGGUCGUAAAGCUCUGUCAAGUGGGAAGAACCCGGUUGAUUAUAAUACAAUGAACCGCUGACGGUACCACUGAAGGAAGCACCGGCUAACUCCGUGCCAGCAGCCGCGGUAAUACGGGGGGUGCAAGCGUUAUUCGGAUUUAUUGGGCGUAAAGAGCGCGUAGGCGGUUUAUCAAGUCAGAUGUGAAAGCCCUGGGCUCAACCUGGGAAGUGCAUUUGAAACUAGUAGACUUGAGUAUGGGAGAGGGGAGUGGAAUUCCUGGUGUAGAGGUGAAAUUCGUAGAUAUCAGGAGGAACACCGGUGGCGAAGGCGACUUCCUGGACCAAUACUGACGCUGAGGCGCGAAGGCGUGGGGAGCAAACAGGAUUAGAUACCCUGGUAGUCCACGCAGUAAACGGUG
rnacentral:rRNA from 1 species